rnacentral:rRNA from 1 species
UACGCAGGGGGCUAGCGUUGCUCGGAAUCACUGGGCGUAAAGCGCACGUAGGCGGGUUGUUAAGUCGGGGGUGAAAUCCUGGAGCUCAACUCCAGAACUGCCUUCGAUACUGGCGACCUUGAGUCCGGGAGAGGUGAGUGGAACUCCGAGUGUAGAGGUGAAAUUCGUAGAUAUUCGGAAGAACACCAGUGGCGAAGGCGGCUCACUGGCCCGGUACUGACGCUGAGGUGCGAAAGCGUGGGGAGCAAACCGG